GGUGCUAUACAUGCAAGUCGAACGCACUCUCGUUAGAUUGAAGAAGCUUGCUUCUGAUUGAUAACAUUUGAGUGAGUGGCGGACGGGUGAGUAACACGUGGGUAACCUGCCCUAAAGUGGGGGAUAACAUUUGGAAACAGAUGCUAAUACCGCAUAAAACCUAGCACCGCAUGGUGCAAGGUUGAAAGAUGGUUUCGGCUAUCACUUUAGGAUGGACCCGCGGUGCAUUAGUUAGUUGGUGAGGUAAAGGCUCACCAAGACCGUGAUGCAUAGCCGACCUGAGAGGGUAAUCGGCCACACUGGGACUGAGACACGGCCCAGACUCCUACGGGAGGCAGCAGUAGGGAAUCUUCCACAAUGGACGAAAGUCUGAUGGAGCAACGCCGCGUGAGUGAAGAAGGUUUUCGGAUCGUAAAACUCUGUUGUUGGAGAAGAACGUAUUUGAUAGUAACUGAUCAGGUAGUGACGGUAUCCAACCAGAAAGCCACGGCUAACUACGUGCCAGCAGCCGCGGUAAUACGUAGGUGGCAAGCGUUGUCCGGAUUUAUUGGGCGUAAAGCGAGCGCAGGCGGUUUCUUAAGUCUGAUGUGAAAGCCUUCGGCUCAACCGAAGAAGUGCAUCGGAAACUGGGAAACUUGAGUGCAGAAGAGGACAGUGGAACUCCAUGUGUAGCGGUGAAAUGCGUAGAUAUAUGGAAGAACACCAGUGGCGAAGGCGGCUGUCUGGUCUGUAACUGACGCUGAGGCUCGAAAGCAUGGGUAGCAAACAGGAUUAGAUACCCUGGUAGUCCAUGCCGUAAACGAUGAGUGCUAGGUGUUGGAAGGGUUUCCGCCCUUCAGUGCCGCAGCUAACGCAUUAAGCACUCCGCCUGGGGAGUACGACCGCAAGGUUGAAACUCAAAGGAAUUGACGGGGGCCCGCACAAGCGGUGGAGCAUGUGGUUUAAUUCGAAGCAACGCGAAGAACCUUACCAGGUCUUGACAUCCUUUGACCACUCUAGAGAUAGAGCUUUCCCUUCGGGGACAAAGUGACAGGUGGUGCAUGGUUGUCGUCAGCUCCGGUCCGGAGAAUGUUGGGUUAAGUCCCGCAACAAGCGCACCCUUAUACUAGUUGCCAGCUUUAUUUGGGCACCCAA
rnacentral:rRNA from 1 species